rnacentral:rRNA from 1 species
UUCCUUUUCAGCAUUGUAUUUAACACCUUCUUCGGCCUUAGCACGACUUACUGGAUGGCAGUUGUUACUAGGGGGCUACUUGGAUUACUCUGUGGUAUAUUAGGACCAAUCAAGGCCUAUGCUUCAGAAGUCUGCAGAAAAGAGCACCAAACUCUAGGAAUUUCUCUUGUAAGAACAUUUGAUCUUUAUGUUCAGUGUUUUAGAUUCAGUUAUUAG